GACGUAGGGUGCAAGCGUUGUCCGGAAUUAUUGGGCGUAAAGGGCUCGUAGGCGGUCUGUUGCGUCGGGAGUGAAAACUUACAGCUUAACUGUGAGCGUGCUUUCGAUACGGGCAGACUUGAGGCAUUCAGGGGAGAACGGAAUUCCUGGUGUAGCGGUGAAAUGCGCAGAUAUCAGGAGGAACACCGGUGGCGAAGGCGGUUCUCUGGGAAUGUCCUGACGCUGAGGAGCGAAAGUGUGGGGAGCGAACAGG
rnacentral:rRNA from 1 species